rnacentral:rRNA from 1 species
GACAGAGGUGCCAAGCGUUAGGCGGAAUCACUGGGCUUAAAGCGUGUGUAGGCGGGUCGUUAAGUACCUUGUGAAAUCCCACGGCUUAACCGUGGAACUGCUCGGUAUACUGGCGAUCUUGAGCCACUUAGGGGCUACCGGAACAAAUGGUGGAGCGGUGAAAUGCGUAGAUAUCGGCAGGAACACCCAGGGGGAAACCAGCCGACUGGGCAUCUGCUGACGCUGAGGUGCGAGAGCGUGGGGAGCGAACCGG